rnacentral:rRNA from 1 species
GGAUGGGCCCGCGGCCCAUUAGCUAGUUGGUGGGGUAAUGGCCUACCAAGGCGACGAUGGGUAGCUGGUCUGAGAGGACGAUCAGCCACACUGGGACUGAGACACGGCCCAGACUCCUACGGGAGGCAGCAGUAGGGAAUCUUGCGCAAUGCGCGAAAGCGUGACGCAGCAACGCCGCGUGGGGGAAGAAGGCUUUCGGGUUGUAAACCCCUUUCAGUUGGGACGAAGCGAAAGUGACGGUACCUGCAAAAGAAGCGCCGGCUAACUACGUGCCAGCAGCCGCGGUAACACGUAGGGCGCAAGCGUUGUCCGGAAUCAUUGGGCGUAAAGAGCUCGUAGGCGGUCUGUUGCGUCCGCUGUGAAAACUCGGGGCUUAACCCCGAGCUUGCAGUGGAUACGGGCAGACUAGAGGUAGGUAGGGGAGAAUGGAAUUCCCGGUGUAGCGGUGAAAUGCGCAGAUAUCGGGAGGAACACCGGUGGCGAAGGCGGUUCUCUGGGCCUUACCUGACGCUGAGGAGCGAAAGCGUGGGGAGCGAACAGGAUUAGAUACCCUGGUAGUCCACGCCGUAAACGUUGGGCGCUAGGUGUGGGGUCCUUCCACGGACUCCGUGCCGCAGCUAACGCAUUAAGCGCCCCGCCUGGGGAGUACGGCCGCAAGGCUAAA